GCGCAGGUGUGGUGCUCCGGCUCCAGGCGCAGGUGUGGUGCUCCGGCUCCGAGAGCCUUGCCAGGUGAGGCGGCUGCGCAGGCAGCCCGCCGCCGCCAUCUUGAGUUGCAGAGUCAGCAGCCCUGCUUCUGCGCCCAAGGCUCCACGGAGCUGAGGUGUCAGCACAGCCAUUUCUCACUCGGCGCUCCCGUCUGAAGUGCCAGAAUGCAGGGGCCUCAGCACGCAGCACCCGGUUUUAGGACAGUAAACUUCUAAGGUUCGAAUAAAAAUGGUGUUUCUCAAACUCUGAAGUACAUAUAAAUCACCUGGGGAUUCUGUGAAAAUGCAUGUUCCACUUCAGUAGGUCCAGUCUGAGAUUCUACAGUUUUAACAAGCUGCCAGAUGAUGCCCAUGUGCUGAUCUUAAGAUCACAUUUUGAAUAAGUGCCAACCAGCAUCCUGCUGUGGAACAGAGGCCAUGUUGGUGUGUGUGUGGAAGUAGAUCAGAGUCAUGCAAACUUCAGUAUGCAGAGAGAAGAAAGAUCUUCUUUUCUUUUGGUUAUUCCUUAAUUGCUUUCUUGAACUUAUAUCACACACAAAAAAUGUAUUACUUAAUAAAUGGAACACACUAACAUAUUUUCCCUUGUAACUGAAUUUCUGAUUGUGGAGAGUUGUGGAACAGGAAAAAAUGAACAAUGUUGGCACAACUUACCCUGGCACUUGAAAUUCUAUACUGGACCAUUAUCUUAAAAGUUUUACAGAGGGCUUAACUUCUCCAUACUAAAGACUUGCUAUUAUAAAACUAAUUAAUUUAUAAGUGGUUGAAGAAAAGUGACUACACCACCAUCACUACCAGCAACAGCAACAAACACACAGAGUUUACUAUGUGCCAGGCAUUGUGCUUAACAUUUUACAAGUACUAAGUCUUUUGUUCUCACAUCUAUCCAGUUAGGUAGCUUAUAGUAUUAUGUAGAUUUUACAGAUGAAGAAACAGAGCCACAGAGAAGAUUAACCAGGGACAUAGUAAGUGGCAGAGCCAAGAGCUGCAUCCAGGCACUCUGACUCCACGGCCCAAUUUUUCAGCCAUUACUUGAUGCAUCUAUAAUAAAAAGACAUAUAUCCCAGUGAUUAGUAUGACAAAUGGUAAUUCUAAUUUAUGAAACAGGUCUGCAGUACCAUUAACAGAAUAGAAAGGCAAUUUUUUCAGAAGGAAAAACAUUUUAGCUGAAAAACUGAGACCAUAUGGUUAGGAAAUACAUGCCUUUGUACUAAAGCCUCCCCCUCUGGUUCUGUUUACUGAUGUCCUGUUUGGAUAUUUGCCGACAACUUUUGCAUAUCCUAUUUGUCCCAAUACAUUGUGGCUCCUUAUAAAACAAUCAGAACAUAAAUUAUCCCUGCCGAGAUAUUUCAAGCCUAGGACUUUAGAAUUGUAAGGCUAAUUUCCAUAAUAAAUUCAAAAGAUUU